AUGACAAAGCCAGGAAGGUAUCCUAAAAACUUUUCACAUUUAUUUUUCUUUUCUGGUCAAAAGAGUCUCUCUGAAAUUCUUGCCAAGGUGUUGGUUGUAGGAAGAUGGCAACAAUAUACCUCAAACCUUUCAACAUCCUGUGUGCCGUAGCAUAGGGAAUUUGUAUCUAGGAGAUACUGCUGGGCAAACUAUCAACAGCCAACACAAAGCUUUUACGUAUGUGUUUGGCACACGUAAAGAACUACCUUUUUUGUAGAGAAUGAGGAAAGGAGAAAUGCUAUACCUCAAGUAUCAUGUUAGGAAUCUUGUAUUUAUUGUGCUUAAUUCUGACAGAUUAUAGCAUGCCAGAAGCACAGAGUAGAAAUGACAGCUGCAUCAUAACAAAGGAUUUGUACAGCAGUUGUACUGAAGAACAUUCUGACACAAAGUUUCCAUUUCAAGAUAAGCCUCCAGAGGUUCUAGUAUUUCCAUGGUAACAAAGUAAUGGGCAACUAUUGCAAUACAGCUAAGACACCUGUGUCAGAACUACAGAAAGAUGCAUUUGUGGGAACUUCUGGUGUAAAUGACAACUUACUUCAAAACACUGAGGAAACCAGGCAAGGAGCUAUGACUGGCUUUUUCCAAACCAGAGGAAAAAAGAUACCAGAAGGGGUGCAAAAUAAUGCAGAAAAUCACUCAGAGGCUGGUUUCAAUAAUGCUGUAGCUUCUCCCAACUUUGUUAAAGAAAAUGAUGGUUUAGAAAUGACUGACAUUCAGUGAUGUUUAAAAAACCUUAUCCUGCCAAAGUAUAUGAUAGGAUUUUUUGCUUUUAGAAAAGUCAAACAAAUCAAAUACAGUAGUCUACUACAUUCUCAGUUUUAAGAUCCUUUCCAUUUUGAGUACUUUUAAUCACAUUUUCAUACAUUUCAGUACAUAUUCUUUAAGCAUCAUGUCUUUCUUUGAAAUAAGAGAUAGACCCUUCCAAUGUUGUAUCUGUUCCAGGCUUCAGUAGAAUAAAUGGUAUGUGGUGUAUUUUUAAAUUAAUAUGAAUGAAACCAUGCUAAUCCAAAAGUUUUUAUGAGGUAAAACCUAGAGAGCAAUUUCCUGCUUUCUCCUGUAAAAAUUAUAAGUUUCGCUGUACUAAUAGUAGUUCAAACUUGUUUUCAUAAUUAAUACUUAUUUUCAUAAUGCUGAUCUUUAAAGUCAAUCUUUUCUGCUAAGCACAAGAGAAAUGCUUCAUUCCAUAUUUUGAAUCUAAAGACAAACUUUAGAAGACAAAUUUUGUUUACUCGUGAAUAUGUGUGUGUUAAAUCUCUGUGUUCAAGUUUGGUCUGAUGCUCUCUGAACCUUCCCACACAGAUCAUACAAGGGUGAGAAAUAACUUGACCAUUGUUUAUAAAACUGCUAAUUUGUCUCCCUAAUUUCUUUUGCUUUUUUUAAAUGUAAACCUGCCAUCUAAAUAACAGAAGUGAUACAAUGGUUAGGAAACAUUAUUGUGUCUGAAAUCCACACAUUAAUUCUAUAUAGAAUAUGAUGGAACUAUAUUUUUUAUUAAAUUCUGUAGAUGUCACACUGCGAAGCAACCAGUUAGAUGCUGCACUAAAUUUUGUAUAUCAAGCCAAUAAUACGUAAAUGUGUAAAGUAAAACAGGUAUUUAUUUUGAUCAUAUCUAAAAUUUUAAUAAAGGCAUAUAUAUUGCA